AAUUCUCGUCUCCCGAGUGGCUGAUUGGGCUGCGCGCGCGGGACGGAGAUGGCCAGUGUCGGAGCGGAGCCAUCCGCGUCGGCUGGGCUGAAAUGCAAGCGGCAACGAGGUUGCGGCCUGAUCCAAUUGUAGAAUGAGUUUGCAUUGGAGACGCGACUUUUGCGGAGCCCCGAUUGAGUAUUUAAAU
rnacentral:misc_RNA from 1 species